rnacentral:ncRNA from 1 species
GUAUAUAAUCGGCAAACUUUCUGAAAAGGAAGGACGCAAAGCCAUGGGUCUAACGAUAUGAUAGAAUCUAAGACAGCCAGGUUGCAAUC